rnacentral:rRNA from 1 species
GAUGAACGCUGGCGGCGUGCCUAAUACAUGCAAGUCGAGCGAACAGACGAGGAGCUUGCUCCUCUGACGUUAGCGGCGGACGGGUGAGUAACACGUGGAUAACCUACCUCUAAGACUGGGAUAACUUCGGGAAACCGGAGCUAAUACCGGAUAAUAUAUUGAACCGCAUGGUUCAAUAGUUAAAGACGGUUUUGCUGUCACUUAUAGAUGGAUCCGCGCCGCAUUAGCUAGUUGGUAAGGUACCGGCUUACCAAGGCAACGAUGCGUAGCCGACCUGAGAGGGUGAUCGGCAACACUGGAACUGAGACACGGUCCAGACUCCUACGGGAGGCAGCAGUAGGGAAUCUUCCGCAAUGGGCGAAAGCUUGACGGAGCAACGCCGCGUGAGUGAUGAAGGUCUUCGGAUCGUAAAACUCUGUUAUUAGGGAAGAACAAAUGUGUAAGUAACUAUGCACGUCUUGACGGUACCUAAUCAGAAAGCCACGGCUAACUACGUG